AGUUGGUCCGUAGACAGAAUCUGCUCUUCUUCUUAGAGAGUUUCCUCCAGUUUCACUUUUUGUCCGUUUUGGGUGGGGAAUUGCUUUCUUCAACAUGUUGCCUUAUUCUUAGUAUAAUUUGUAUUCCCUUCCCCUGCUUCUUUAUCUUGGUGUUGAACCAAAUUCAUGUUUUUAGGGCAGCAGAAAUCAGUGACAUGACCACAGCCAGUCAUGUAUUUGUUCCUCUGUGUCCAAGCACUAUGAUGGUGCACGGAGCAGAGUACUCUCACUGAUGGGGCAGCCCCUGACACCCAUUGCUUAGGUUGGCCUCAUAGCCAGUCUGGAUUUGGUGGCAAAUUGUGAAGUUCUUGUUCUUGCUGGGAAUCAAAUUCUGGUUGUUAACCAUGAGGUAUCCUAGCUGACAGCUCUCUGGCAGCAGAACUUGGAACGUCAACACUGGUAGUAGAAAAACCUGCCAUUGGGCACAGUUCUGACCCAGUUCCAUGUCCUGUCCACAAAAUUUUCUCCUUCAAGUUGCAUGUCCACCCCAUUAUUACUUCCUUUAUUUCACUACAUAGGUUUCCUUAUUAUAUAACCUAAAUUGCGUGCUUUAUGUCUCAGAUGCAAAUGUUUUCCUGCACACUGUGUUUUCAAACAGUUAUUGCAAUAAAUGGAUCACUUAUAUACUUAAGUAUAAGAAAA